GGGCCAAGCCGCCCUUCCCAUCCCUCCGCCCGCGCUCGCCCCCCCCCCCCAGAUACUCUUUACACUCCCACCCUCGGCCCCUGUCGCCCGCAAGUAGGGCUUAGCGCGAGCGAGCGAGCGGCGGCGGGAGGACGCCUCCCCGGCCCUUUGUUCCCAAGCGGCCCCCGCCCAGCGGGCGACGCUCCGUGUGUCCUCGGCUGCGCGGGCCGAGCUAAGGUGCGCGGCGCGAGCCUGUGUUUCUGGAGGUCUGCGCUGGUGUCUGCGGUGGGGGGCGGGGGGAGGACCGGCUUGGAGCUCUAAGAGUUCUGUCCAGACCCAACUCUUAACCUCUGGGAAGGUUCCUCGGGGCAAGAGACACCGUUCCUCUCCUGGCCGGCUCGGUGCCCGAGCUCGGAGGCAGAGCCCCGCUGCAUUCACCCUCUGACCCCCGAAAUACUUCCAAAGAACGUAAACAACAGCAAAAGAGUCGGCCCAAAGGCUCUGACUGCCUUUUCACUGGCCAGCCGUAGGAAAACCUGACAACUCCGAGGCUCGGAGCCGAGACCAGCACGGGUCCGUGCACGGAGUGGCUCUGGGCUGCUGGGGAACCGGGCCCUGUUUUUGUCUGAGCGUUUUGUAAGGAUUAAGCUGAUCCAAGCUUCUGACGGCCGCACGGAGAUUCAAACAGGCCUAAAGUGCGACCCCAAGCGGCCGCGGUGCGCAAAGGCGCCCCGGACUGCUUGGUUCGGUGCGGGAAGGCUUGGACGGCGCCUCGGACCCCUGCAAGUCCUACUAGCAGACCUGACCAAGUCAGUCCUGAAGGCGGGCUGUGUGCGCCCUGGAACCCAGGACAGACCCCUCUGGAAUUAGGCACCAGGUCCUCCGAUCCCAUCUUCGGACUCAACCGCGAGCCCUCCCCUGGUUGCCCUCCCUGAAAUCUCACAUGCGAGCCUUGGAGGGGUGCUUGUGGCCUACUCCCCUCCAGGGAAGGUCCUGAGCUGGGGAGAUCGGUGUCCUAAAAUGAAAAGGCAGAGUGGAGAGGGUCCAGGGCUGGCGGGUGAGAACACUCUCCGGGGCGCAGACGGGGUGGCGGAACGCGGCGCACCGGGCUUUCAGAGAGGGCCGUAGAGCGCAGACAGACCCUCCCUGCCUCGGGCCAGAGGGGCAGGAAACGUGGGGCUUUCCUCAGACCCCGACCCCGAAACUACGAGCGAAUAGACGUGGAAUUCGUUGGAUCCGGAGAUCCGACCCGCCUCCCGCGUCGCUUUGAGCCUCCCGGCUCAGGAUGCGGAGAGCUAAGGCGCCGAAAGCUCGCUGGGUGAGUUUGUCCCGGCUGCCGGCCGGCCAGGACGUCGCGCACGGGUGUCCAGGGGCCGGCAGCCGGGACAACAAGACCGGAGUUUUGUUUUUCUCUCUCCCUAACAGUUAGAAGAAAAAGAUUUGCCUCCGAUAAAUAAGAAAACCCCCCUUUUCCUCCCGAGUCCUUAAGGAAGAUGGGGCACAGCGUGGUCUCGGGAGCCCAUUUUUAACAAAAUGGGUGUGUUUUAACUAAAACUUCACCCAGGAGGCUGAGCUUCGGGAACUGCUGAGGAAAAUCUCCCCAAACGCCUGGAGAAGCGCGCUCUGGGCAGAAAUGGUUCGGCAGCCCGAGGCAGGGAGUCUGGGCAGUUGGGCUGAACCUCCCGCAGAUGGGGACGGGCGCAGGGGACACCCACUCGCCUUGCAAGCGUCCCAGCUGCGGUGGCCCGAGGAGAGCGCACGCUCGGACUUGGGCUGAGCGAUGUGCUUUUUUGGGGCCGUUUCGGGUUGAGAGUCCCGGGUUUCUGCAAACCAGGGUUCCAGCCUCACCGCAGCAGGACUCACUGAGCACCCACGGGGGGUCGGAGGGGGGAGUCCAGCGUUCGCUCCCCCUCCUGCCCCACUCCGAGUCACCUGAGACCUAGCGCUUCCCCGAGUACGCGCCCUCCCCUCCCGGGAGCAUCAGGGAGGACAGCAGAGCUGCGCUCGCUCCCCCGCGUCUCGCUCGCCACAGAGGGCUGGAACCCACUUCUUAAGAAGGUGGCCCCAGACCAGUGAGUUGUGAAACCCCAGAAGUUGCGCUGCCCUCUCAGGGUCGGAAGGACUCAGCCUUUGUCCUGGCAGUUUUGCUUCUCUUUGUCCCCGUGACUAUCUCUGUUAGAGCCACUCUCUUUCCUAGCUAUGUCAGCGUGUCCUGCGCUCGGUCCUGUGCUCAGUUCCCCUCCCCCAACCCGUUUCCUGGGGUAGCCCCUCCUUUCAGAGAGAGAGAGAGAGAGAGAGAGAGAGAGAGAGAGAGAGAGAGAGAGAGAACUACUCCUGGAGGCCCCGAGAAUGAGGGAAGGUUGCCCCAACUAAAGGCCUUUGCCCACAGCCUAUCCCAUUUGGCGGCCCAGCCUCCCCCACUCUAAUUCCCGUGCGCGCUGCUGCAGAGUCUUGGAACUCCUGGGCUGAUGACCUUUUCCCUCUCCAGACUGCCACUGCAGUCUCGGUUUUCAUGUGCGGGUUUCUCCCGGUCCUGGGUGUUACAGCAGGACGGGACAAAGGACUGCUCCCCGACCCUGAAAGACGAGGGAGAUCGCGACGCUGCCGCGACGCCUCUUGACUGGGAGCCCCAACGCUCCCUCUGAGUUUGGUGGGAUGCUGAAAGAAGAGGAGAGCCGAGAAGCCAGGCGAAGGAGGCAGGAGGCCAGGCACCAAGGAAAGUCGGGAUCGCCAGCAGCCAGAGCCCCUGUACCGAAUAGUUCCUGUCUGCCGCCUAAACUCAUAUUUGAGAUUUUUUUCCAAUUCCGAAGCAAGCGAGCCCGGCUGCAUCAUCUUGGGACUCUUUAACAGGGAUGGGUGGACCCUGAAGGGUCCUAGACACCCGGCCUCGAGGCCCUCCCGCUCUAGGAUCAUAAGUUACUCUCCAGGACCUUAAAGAACAAGAGGCGGAGCUUGAAGUUUUCUCGGCGCUGCCCUAGUGGCACCUCUGCCAUGCCCGUCAGGGUAACCUUAGAGAUACCCAGUGGCGCGCCUUUCUGCCUGCGCUUUCAGACUAGGGCGGCGCCUGGCACCUGCGCUGAGGUGCCGGGUUCAUCCAGGCUUCCCGGAGGGCUGCAGGUGCUUAGUUGCGGGAGGAGGCGGAUCUGCAAGAGUAGGAGUUAGAUUUAUGGCACACGGGAGGAGUGUGCGUGCGUGCGUUUGUGUGUGUGUGUGUGUGUGUGUGUGUGUGUGUGUGUGUGUGUGUGUGUGUGUGUGUGUGUGUGUGUUUGUGCUGGGUGGGGAACCGCAGCUCUCUGCUUGUAGAGGUUAGGGACUCGCAGCUUCGCAGCCUCCUAGAUAGCAGGGUCCUGCUAUCCGAGGUCGUCAAGUAGAAGCCCUUGGACCCCAGGGUCCCAGGGCCUGAGUUCUACUGGGGAGGGCCUAGCGUUUGGAAACAAAAACUACAAAAGCCUGCCUUUAGACAGCGUGUCACCUACAUUUCUCUUACAAAUAGCGCUGAGGUCCGUGCUACCUUCCCAACACCCCAAGGGAAGAUGCCCUAUUGCCAGCGUUCCCUGAAAAUCUCCGGAAGUCUGUGGCUUCUAAAGGGGUGUUGAGGGCAGUCUGCCCUUCCUCUUCCGACAUUUGCCAUCACUUCCACUCAGCCCCGCCUCGCAUAACCGCCAUCAGAACCCAAAACAGCACUUCCCAAAAGGUUUUGUGCUAUUGUAGAGCCUUGUACCUCUGGCCCUGGUAGCAACGAUAGUUCUACCAUCUGCCCAUUGAGGAUGGAGGACCUCUCCAGCACAGCAGAGGAGCAGGGAUAUGUACUACCGCAGAAAUGUCCGCUUCUUUUUGCUUUGUUUUAGUCGGAGAGAAGAUUUUAGGAUGCGCCCCAGGUGCACACAUUCCGUAACCACUGGGCAGUGCGGCUUGGAAGAGAUGGGCUGUUUCUCUAUAACAUGCACUUCCAACCACACAGGAAUUUGAAAGGCCUUUUAUUCUUCACUCUGCCAUUGGAUUCUGGUAGCAGCAGCUAUAUUAUUCCUACUUUGCAUAGAUUGGUAGGCAAUUGUCUAAGAGUUUCACAUUCCUGGCUCAUCCCACACAUAAAGGAGCCCAGGAUCAUCAUCAGCUCACCCAAAGAUAGAGGGAGCCUCUCAGAGGUUAAGUGAUUCAUUUCAAUUUGCACAGAGGUAAUAAACCAGGACUUCUGACUUCAGAAUCCUGUGCACUGGAGGAAGGGUUCCUCUACCUUGAGUGGGCAGUGACCCGGGGACCCAGGUGUCUGUCUGUACAGGUCUUCUCCAGCUGCUGUUUGGAUUGGGAUUUCCAACUCCCUUCCAGACUAUUGACUGUUCUUGUCGCUGCUGAGCCUCUUCUUGAUUCUAAGAGAAGUGUUUGUCUUUUUGUGGAUGUCACAAGCAUCCCUGGGUUUCUGCCCUUCCCUGUUUGUGUGGGACUGGCAAGAAACCAAAGCAAAGAUGAAAGGUUUGCAGUCUUUCCAUCCUGACCCUUACCCUUGGCCUUCGACCGACCACUGAUGUUGGCUCUGAGUCUCAGCCCUGACUAUGAUGGUCUUGCCUGUGCUCAGAGUUAGAAUCUGUCUUAAAUAACUGGCGGUGGGGGAGAUGAAAAAUAAGAAGGGAGAGGUUCGGAAGAUAGGAGGAAAGAGGGAAGAGAGGAAGAGGAAGAGAGGGGACAGAGAAAGAGGGGGGAGAAAAGAGGUGGGAUGUGGCUUGUGGUCUUGUGAGGAGCUGAAACUGCUGAAAGCCACAGCUGAGAGAAGGAUAACCAGCGCCACUCCCUCCUCACCACACCUGAUUAUGGCAUGACCCAAAGCCACCAUUAGAGUCUGAAACCACAUCCUGGCUUUCACCUCUCAUAGCCUGACCAGAGGAGCUGUUUCCCUCCACCCCAAGAACUCUCUAGCUCUCCAUCUGGUACCUCCCCUCAUCCAAGUCACUCUGAUCCAUGGCUUAAAAGACAACACGGGCUUUGGCUAUGGACUGUUGAGUUUUGCUUUUCCAUGGAGCAAUAGAGGCAGUUAGUCUGUGGGACUGAGCGCUCUGGCUCUACCUCUCUACCCCUGAAGGAACUGAAUGUGUUUUCUCCUAGCCUGACUCCAGUUGUACUCCCCCCCCCAUAAUGCUUCAGGCAUGCCAGUUCCUUUAAGUUCCUCCACAGACUAAGCUGUUUUCUACCACAGGGGCUUUGUGCAUGACACUACCCUCUACCCAGAAUGACUUGGUUGCUUGCCUCUGAAGGAGUCUGAAAAGCAUUCACUCCUGAAUCAAGCCUCAAUCCUUCCUCCGAACAUCCAAGGACUAACCCAAGGAAUGGGGAUGAUUUGGUUCCCCUAAUCCACCGGCCUUCCUACUUGCCCUCCUUUGCCUGGGUUCUCUUCCUGCUGGAGAGCUGGUUUCUAGCUGCUGAGGAAGUGAACAGCAUCCUUCAGUUGCAAAAGGCUGAUAGAGUGGUGCCGAGGCUGUGCUGUGGCGAAGCUAACCUGGGGUCAGGAAGGAACUGCAGUGGCCACUCUAGCUCUUUUUUCCAUUUCUUCACUUUAAGAUGAAAUGUACAAGGUAAACGCACAGACCCGUUUCCUGAAGUAAAAUCUGCAGCCACAGAGUUCGUAGCAUUCGUGUCUCCAGUUUCAGCCAGCUUACUUGAGCCAGUGACCUCCAUGUCAAUACACUCACAUCUGCAUCUUUCUUUUUAAUGUACGUGCAGCAUUCUGCCCAUUGGGUGUCCUGCCAUUUUUCUUUCUUUCUUUUUUUAAAAAAGCAAGUCCCAUAUUGAUGGGCAUUUAAGGCAUUUCUAAGCUUUUCUGCUGCAAACGAUGCUGCAACUCACAGCUUUUGUACAUGUUCCUUUUAACACACGUGCAAAGCAUUUCUCUUCAAAGCAAGAAAAGGGUAGCCAGAUUGAAAGAUAGGCGUAUUAUCAAUGUUAAUAUUGUCAAAUUAGCCUCCAACAAGAUUGCACCUAUUUAAUUUCCCAUCUGAAGCUAGGAUGGUAAUCCAUCAGCAAUGGAUUUUUAUCAAGGUUUUUCAUUUUUAUGUCACUUCUGUAAGCAUUGCUGGGAGAUGAGGGCUCCUCCAUCCAGGAAAUUGCAGACCUUGCCGGUGCAGCUGGGAAGGUGUCCUGGUGAUGGUGACGGUGCAUUCACUGGUGCUAUCAGGGCUCCAGCAAAUGAUGGUUGGAGGAAAGAAGCAUGGUAGUGGCAGGCAGAGAGGGCUCCAGAGACGGGGAGAUGCUUGCCUGAGGCUUUGGAGGCUGAGUAGAAAUUUAUAAAACACAAAAGCAAGAAUACUUGACAGGAAUAGUUGUCGGAGCAAGGGCCCUGUCUUCUGGGCACUUGGGGAAAGCUGUUCCAAGGAAGCUGGAGACAGAGCCACAGACCUCUGCAAGAGCCAGCUCUCCAUGUGUCAAAGAACUGCAGUUCUGUCCCAGAAGCCAGCAAAUCAUCUCCACACAGGCAGGCAUCUUUAUGAUGUGAAGCACACAGUAGGUGCUUAAUAGUUAAUUAUGGAAAGACAAAAGAGGGCCUAAACAGUAUUUAAACAGCAUACUUCAUUCUCUUCGAUCUCUCAGUGCCAGAACUGGGAAGUUGCUUCCCUUCUAAAUGCUGGAGAGACAGUACCUACAAACCCAGCCUAGGAAUCCCCUCCUGGGUCUCAGCCCCCAUCCAGGCCUUGUGCCAGAUCCUUUCACCCCUGCCUGUUAGAGAUUGCUUUUGGUUUCUGUGUUGACAACCCUUGUUUCUGCGUUUGGAGCGGCUGUUCAGUGCCAUUUCCUGAUUUAAUAUCGGUCCCGGCACAGAGCGAGGAUGCACAGUUAGCAGAUUUUGCUCCAAGUAUUUUUCAAGCUCCCUUUUGAUGUAAGGGUUGGGCUUUCAGCUUCCCUGAUCUCAACAAGCAGGGGGGUGGGGAAGGGGGGGAAGGGAAAAGAAGGAGCUGAGGACAGGAGAUGGAGUGGAGGAGGCCAGAACCCAAGGACCCCCGCAGAGCAGACUCCCCCUAGACUCAGCCUCUCAACCCUACAUAGAGAGCUCCACAAAGACAUGGGCCAAGCUGAGGAGUCUGGGAAGAUGGACAGAGACAUCUCAGUGGCAUAAACAGAAAGACCCAGAGCUCAACAAACCAGCUCGGUGCAACUCAAAACACUAGGAGGCAAAAACAAAAUCAAUGUGGGUUCUAACAGUCCUCGGUUUUGUGUGACUUUGAUGGAACUUCUCCUGGACCCAAGGACUUCUGUGAGAUUAAGUGUAAGGCUGAAGGAAGGACUUCUUGUUCUUGCAUUAGGAACUAGCACUCUGCUAGUGCAAGGAGAAGGAAACUUAAGAAGCAGCGAUUGAUGCAUGCUCAGAGGGUCUGUGAUGCAUGCACAUACUGGAACACACACAGACCCACACUUGAGGACAGGACACGAGUAAAGACCAGCAUUUCCUGUAACCCCCCAUCAGUAUCCACGGCUACUACUGGGUUUCAUUUCUCCUCUUUGACCAUCCAUUUGCAGGGGUCUCCCUCACAGACCUUUUGUGUCAGCCUAGAUCUUCUCAAAGAAGCAAGCAAAAGAUUUACUGGGGGCUCACUGGGAGGAAAGGAGGAUGAGGGUAGAGGGAUCAGGAGGACCAGAAGGGAGGCUAUAGUCACUGGUGAAAGGAGCAAGAAGGAGAGAGGUUGGCAAAGAAGGAGCUGAAGCUGCAGCCUGGCCUGGAAGAGUUCUAACAAGCUCAUUGGGGCUGCUGAGAGUCCCUAUCUUAUGGAAGUGAGCCAGCUCAGGUGCUGAACUAUGGCCUGCAAGCAACCAGAAGUACAGCCAAGGGCCAAACACACACACACACACACACACACACACACACACACACGCCAGGGUGUCACAUAACUUGACACCAUUACAGCCAUUACUCGGGAAGGAAACCUCAGCCAGACCCUUCCUGGCCAUCCCAUCUUCCAUCUUCAGAUUGUCCUUCAGUGAGCAUCUGGCUGGAGGAGGGGACUCUCUAAGAACAAGGGCUAAGAUGCAGUUGGAAUCUCUUAUCUCAUUCGAUUCUCCUCAGUAACCAUCUAGAUAGGCAUUCUUAACACGGCUGCCACCAUUUCAUAGACAUGGAGCUAAAGUUACCAUCAACUGACUGACUUGCUAGAGGCCGAAACUACCAAGUGGCAGAGUAGGUUUGAAGGCCCUUGGACUCUAACCAUUGCUCAACAUGGCUUUGGGUAGGAAAAGGUCCAUAAAGGGAAUAUGGGAGGCUCUUUUCCCUCUGUACGCCUACCUCACCUGUUACUUAGUCUCCAGUGAAAGCUUCUCUGGUCUCCUUAGGGUCUGUGUCCACCUAUUUGCAGGCUGGCCUGCUGGUCUGCUCCAAGCAAGAGGCCCAAAAUGUUCACCAGAAUUAACCACUUUCUAACAUCCGCAUGUCUGUCUUUUUCUUAAGCGCUCCCUCCUCCAGGAAGCCCUCCCAUAGCCCCUGAUGCACAGUUUACCUAUUACAUCUCUGUCAAAUGUUGGACUUGGCCUUUCUAGAGCCAAAAAAAAAAGUUUAGAUCCAGAGUGUGGGUGCUCACAGAGGGAAGGCUGAUCCAGGACAAAAGAAAAGGACGCCCUUGGAGGGUGAGGGACCCUUGCUGAGAAAACCACAGUCUUGGCCUGUGGAAGCACAGCCUGCAGUCCAGGGCCUGACCACCAGGGGCCUCAUCACCCCUAGGCAAUGCUAAGGUUGACCCUUCCCUUCCCAGUGCCAAGUUGAGCAAGUUAAAGUCUCUGGACUCCAACUUUUCUUCAGGAAGCUACCCCAGGCCUCAGCAUCUGCUCAGCCGCCAGUGGCCCGGUGGGUAGCCCCAGCUAAGGAGGAGAGUUAUUUUUAUUUAUUUCUUCUUAAUCAUGGACUUAAUUUAGCUGCUAAUCAGGUUACCAUGGUGAUUUGCACGGGAUUUACAGCAGUUUCCUAACGCGCCUUUUUUUUCCUCACUCUUUUAGUAAACGAGUAAAAUUUGGGCACUGCAAGGAACAUUUGGGUCCCUUGCACAAAGCGACUGCCUCCUGAAUGUCCUAGAACAAGGUCACCCAUGUCAGCUUUGCGGUUCUCUUUCACCUUGCCUUGAGUGUUUAAGAGUGGGUCGUGACUCUGGGUGGACCCCAGGGACCCAAGUACUUCUUUUCUACCCUCCUCCAAAACCUUCAACAGGCCCCUGUUGCCGACCAGGUGAGGGCUGGGACUCUUGCAUUGCUCUCAAGGUCUGCCCGCCUGCCUCACUUUCCAGCCUCUCCCCGCAUGUGUAUUCGUUCCUCCGCAUCUCUGUUUGGGAUGUUCUGCCAGGCCCAGAAUAUCUUUCUCAGACAUAUGAAAGCCUUUAGUUCUUGGAGUCCUCUAGUUGAGUUCAUUCUUCCCCUCUGUAGGUGGUUCUAGCUUGUCUUUGGAGUCACCAUAUCCCAAGGUAUGACUACCAGCAGGCAUGGGAGGGGAUAUUGUGCCAGUGAAUGCAGGGGAGCAGGGCAGGGAGGCAGGAGGAGGAGGAGGACUAAGAGCUGGCAUCUUGACAGCUUGCUGUAUUUUGCUGUCUGGAAGUUCGGUUUGCAUUCCAUUCAGGCACUUGGGGGACAGGGAGAUUCAAUUCAUAUCCCCUCUUGUCUCACCCAGGGGCUCAGAAACACUCCCUUCUAGGACCAAAUUGAGUACCCCGCCCCAUCCCCCACAGGGGCCUCCGAGAAGGGACAGUGUCUCCAGAUUGGAGACCACAGUUUCCAGGAUCUCCCUGAGGACCUCAGGGCCGGCUGCCAAUCAGACCUGGGAUCAGCCACAGUCCAUUAGUGAAUGCCCCGGGUGCAAGGCGCCAACACAGCCCCCCAGGCAUUGGCGCCAGAGGCUGCCCAGGGAACCCAAAGCCACCUUCAAUCACUAUCUUGGCUUUUGCCAUCAGACAAACUGGACCAUGGACUGUAGGCUGUUUCCUAGGUGAGUACCCCCGCCCCCCAGCUCCCAGUCCAGAUAGUCCGAGCUUACAAACUAACCCCUCGCGUUGGAUUGUGGGUGUAGCCCCCCAUGGGAGGCCUGGAACCUUUGCAGAAUGCCACCCUGCUACUGGAGCAGUGUGGGUUUCUCUCUUGCUAUCCCUCCUGGGAUGCCUCACAUGUGAGGCCCUGGGAGGUGAGGUUAGCAAACAGGAAACGAACAGUCUAUGACAGGCCCCGACUGGCUGAAACCCCUCUGGCAGGCAUGGCUCUCCAACCCACUCCAGCCCCCGACCCCUCCAACCUGUAAGGACUCCUGGUCAGAACAAACCCAACCCAGUAGGUGUAGGGAUGGGAGCACAGAAGGACAAAGAGGUCCCCACACAGGUGCCCAAAGCUAGGGAAGAGUCUGGGGUUCUACUCCUAACUCAGCGGGACAUUUACUACGUGGUCUUCAGCAAGUCACUUAACCUCUCUGGAAUUCUGUUUCUUUUCGGGGGUAGGUAAAACCCCACCUAAAUGAAGACUGGGCUUUGUUCUCCAGCCCCACCUCUGCUUGCAAGCUUAUCCUCCCUGGCGGGUCUACCAACAGUGACGGGAGAAGGAAUGACUAGACAAGGUGGGAGAAGCAUGCAGUACCUGCUCCAGCCACUGGGGGCAGACUUACUCCGCCCUGUGUAUAGUUUUACCCACCAGGUGCUGGUUCCCAGUAAUGGCUUAACAAGCAUCCAGUGUGGAAAGGGGCAGGAACUUCCUCCUUUGAUAGGUCAUGAGUUGCACAGCCCUGUGCCUAAGAACACAGGCUCUGAGCCUAAUGCCAGAGUUCAAAUCCCAGGUCUGCCUUUACGAGCUGAGUAGCUUUUGAGCAAAUUGCCUACUCUGCCUGUGCCUCCUGUCCUUCCGUGGCUAAUGGGACAAACAGCAGUACCCUUACCAGGCUAGUGAUUAACUGCAGGCUGUACACUGACUGUGACCCAAGCACUUCCCUGUCUGCUACUUCUCAGUGCCAUCAUAGCAACACUCCAGGAUGCUGAAAGGCAGCAAGAUGAAACCUCUCACCUGAGCCUGCUGCUCAAAGCCAGUGCACUUGCCACCAGCCCCUGCCCAUCCCCACUUCUGUUCAAUAUGAUCGAUGUUCUCAACUGACUUGUUUUGCAAAACAAGUUCAUAUAGCAAUGGAAACAGAGACAGUAGGAGUUAAUUAAGGGCAGGGUGAACCACACAUCGAUUCUAACAUCGUUAGAAGAGAGACAACCAGACUUUAGGACACGAUUCAACAAGGAGAACGCAACACCAUCUGCUAAGGCUUCCAGCCAAAGAUCGAACGCGACGGCACCCUAACUCCCCGCUUCUGGGAAGCACUGGGGAUAGAGGAGAUCAGUGCACAGCCCAGCACGGGGUCGUCGGCCACAUCCACGGGGGAACCUAUAACCACCCAGAGAUAAGCAGGAGUUCCAACAGAAACUCAUGACAUCUUAAAAAGGAGAAGAGUGUCAUGUUUCUCUUAUCCUCAACAUGGACUAUCAGAAAGAAGUUGAAGAAGCAUGUCAAUGAAAUGCAACUGCUGAUAGCAUGGCCCAAAUACACAAAAGAUAAAAAUGUAUUUUUGAGAACGUUUGGAAAUACAUGAAUAUCAAGCAACUGUUGGAAAAGAAAAGAACUUUACUUUUGCUUUGUUAAAUGUGAUGUUAGUAUUACGUGUGAUCGAAGUUAAAAGAAAUUCUAAGUCAUGAUCUGUUAGCUAUAGCUUCUAAAAUAUUUAGGUAUAAAACAAGCUGGUACCUAGGAUUUUUUUUUCAAAUACUCCAACAAUGAGCAGGGAAACAGAAAGGCAGAGGACCAAGGCAGAGCACCAAGUAGGAGGAGCCACAGACUCAGAGUUCAGAGACAUCAGGAGUGAGCAGAGCUUGGCCCCUCAAGCUAGGAAGGACUGGAAGGCCUCUCAAGCCCUGGACUAUCCAAGGAGCAGCACAUCCUUACCUAUUCUCAGGCCCUGGGGCAAGCGAAUGUUUGCACACCACCCAGAAGACACAGUUAUUCACUCCUUUCUUCCAUGCCUCCCCUCCCCCUUCUCAAGUCAUCUAUCCAUCUAUCACUUAUUUGUUCAGUCAACACAUCUGCCUUUUGAACAUAUACUGUGUGUGAGAUGCAGAAGGGUCAUCCCAGCACCAUGGCACUGAUAGGGCAGAAGUGAGAGCCACAUGCUUGCUGAAUCUGCCAGCAUGAAAACACGUCUCUACAAAGCAUGGGAAGUCUAAGUAAGGAUAGUGGUGGGCCAUGUCGGCAUUUUAUAUGGAGGGAAACACUUGGUCUGGCCUGAGGGUUACUCAUGGACAUUCUGUCUGUAACAUUUAAAUGGAGGCUUGAAGGAUAAGAGGAUCAUGGCUAUGUGAGGAGACCAGGAAGUACACUGAGGCAAAAAGAACAAGAGCAAAUGUCCUGGGGUAGCAAGAAGCAAGGAUCUGGGGACACUAUAAAGGAGUAGCUGGGGCAGAGUGACAGAAAGGACAAGCCAAUUAAGAAGCGUUGGGUGGGGCUGAGAAUCACUAGAGAAAGUCCUUUUCCAUAAACCAUGGCACACGGAGACAGAGGCAGGGGCAGAGGCAUUGGCGCUGCUAACAGAUGCUCCUGUGGUGGAUAAAGUCAAGAACUGGAAAGGUGUGUGCUCAUGUUGUCUAGAGAAAUACUCACUUUCUUCAGGAAUCUUUUUGUUGGGGAGCAGGGUAGAGAGUAAGCCUGCACACGAGGAAGGCAAUGGCAGAGGACCAUUGGAACUACCAAAUAGUUAAGUUUUAAAAUUGGAGGAAAGGAGGUCCAGGCUCCCCUCAUGUUCUGUUUUGCAGCUAGCUCCGGUCAAAGACAAGAUAUCCUAGCCAACAUCAGGGCCACUGGACCAGUGAUUUAUGGCCCUGAGACAAAGGCUCCUAAGGAAAAGACCCAGCACAAGUCAGAUGUGUUGCUGCAACUAUUAUAACCCAUCCAUCUAUCUGAAUCAUCCUAGCAUCUGGAAAGUGGACCAGGCUGGCAUGGGCUGAAUAUGCCUUCACAUACAUCUUCAUUCAUGGCAAAUGGGCACAUGGUAAAUGGGCUGGGAAUAGAAGCCCCAUUUUUUCAGAAGAGGGCAAUGAAGGUGCUGAAAAGAAGACUCCAAGGUCAACAGCCGAGAGUGCCAACCUCAGCUCUGUUUGAGUCCCAGGUUGCAUACUUUGGUGCUGUAUGUGAAUGGCUGCCUGGGAGUUUCUGCCUGGUAUGGUUGGUUUCUUAGGGCUCUUUCUCCAGUGUUCCAAGAUUGGAAGCUCUGAUGUCCCUGUAGAGAAACAAGUGGCUUUCAAUCCCCAAUCCACUCUUAGAAGAAGAAGGAAACGGAGGAGGAGAAGGAAGAGGUGGAGGAGGAGGAGGAGUGAGAGCAAGCAAGCAAGCUGGCAUAUCCAGCAGACUUUUUCCACUCAGAUCCAAACUUUUGCUUCCUUGUCUGAAAUAUGCUUUUACAGCGACCUACAAGAGGUCAGGAAUGACAAACCCCCCCCCCAGCCUCCAAACCAUGCAAAACGUUCUGGACCCCUGUGAGAGAUGCGUGUGAAGCAGCACGUCACAGCUCAUGUGUGUCCCCAAGAGGAUCCUAGGCCCUUGGCUUCAGGAGCACCAUGCCUGACUCAGCUCUGUGGUCCCAGCAGUCUGGCUGAGAGGCAGAUGAUGAUGACUGUCUGCUGAACAACAGGACAGACCUUUGGCACUGUAGAUUUCACAACAAACCCAACUUGAGAAGGAGAAAUGAAAAGACGGGGGGAAGCUGAAGGGAUAAUAUUCAUUGUCAAAAGCAGGCUACAAAAUCAUAUUUCAAAAACGCACAUAAAUGUAGCAUUCGUUUAAUCGUAUAUGAGAUCAUGCAAACACAUGAGCACAGCAAACGUUCUAGAUAAAAAUGCAAGCCAAAUGUUAGUGGUCAUAUUUCUGUGUGGUUGGCUUCUGUGUGAUCUUAUUUAUUUAUUUUUUACUUUACCCUCCAAAGUUGUAUUAAAAAGAACAUACGGAAUUCCAACUAAUAGGACAAAUCCACCACUAUUUCAUUUGAUAACUGUCUUGAAAAAAUAUCCAAGUUUGGGGUAUUGCCUGCUUUCCUAAACCAAGAUAGCUGCUGAGUGCCAGCCAGGGCCCUGACAGUCUGUGAGCGUGGUGGAGCAGCCAUGAUGCUGCAGACUCUAGAGCUCACCAGAUUCACACCAGAAGCCUCCAGCCAGGUCCCUGCCCAGGAUGCAGAGAGCAGAUGCCAGGUCUAACGGCUAUCCGCCAAGUCCCCCGGCAUCACCAAGUACAUUUCCACGACUCUUCUCUCCAUCUCGCGUCAGUAAAUCAAAGCCCAUCUCAUACACAAGGUGGGCCUUUUCUGGUAAAACACAAAAAAACUUAAUCUUUGGUCCAGAAGCAGUAGAUUGCGGCAGCAAGCCGGCAGCCAAAACCAUUAAUCUUUGCCGCGUUCCCCAACUGGCCCGAGCAGUAAAGAAGAUAAUACCCCAGCAGAAUCAGUGACCCACUACAAAUUGGUCCUGAAAGGUCCACCAGCAUAAAUAGACUUUUGCUGAUCCAACACUUGUUAGGAACCCCAACAAAGAGACUAUUGGCUCAUCUGAUGAGCCGCCUGCAAUGGGCCCUUGCAAUGGCUUGUGAUGGAUGACCACCCUCCCUUGAAGGGGAAGAUGCAGCUCCUGGUAUGGGGCCCUUUCUCAUCUUAAAUUUGUCCUCAAUAAAUCACAGGUGCAGAGAA